AGUGAUUCAGUUUAGUUUAGUACGGAGGUGACUAGUGGAUAGUGAUUUAGUUUAGUUUAAUAUGGAGGUGACUAGUGGAUAGUGAUUUAGUUUAUUUUAGUACGGAGGUGACUAGUGUAUAGUGAUUUAAUUUAAUAUACAACCAAGAGCGAACCUAAAACACAUGGUUGCUUCGAGGGGAAAGGAAAGGAGAGGAGGAGAAGGGAACAGGAAAGGAGAAUAGGAAAUGCGAACAGGAAAGGAGAGGAGGAGAAGGGGAAAGGAUAGGAUAGGAAGAGAAGGGGAAAGGAACGGAGAGGAAGAGAAGGGGAAAGGAACGGAGAGGAAGAGAAUGGGAAAGGAUGAGAAGGGGAAAGGAAAGGAAAGGAAAGGAAAGGAGAGGAGGAGAAGGGAGAAGGGGAAAGGGAACACCUCUAAAAGAGACUGGAAAAGAUUGGUGGAAAAUCAUCUGGGAGGGGUGACUGAUAUGGUUUGUGGUGGUGGUGGUGGUGUUGGGGAGGAGGGAGAGAGAAGGGGGGUGGAUUUUCCACUGCCAGGGAAAGAACGGCUAAAUCAAAUUAAUUAGCUUCUUCAUCUCCAGGCAGCUACUCAGGCAUGCUGUACUGGCAAAGAGAGGGAGAAGGAGAGUGUACACAAGAGAAAGAGUGAGAGUGUAGAGAACUUGGUGGAGGAGUGAAGAGC
rnacentral:lncRNA from 1 species